UACGUAGGGGGCAAGCGUUGUCCGGAAUUAUUGGGCGUAAAGCGCGCGCAGGCGGCGAGGUAAGUCUGGUGUUUAAACUUGGGGCUCAACCCGAAGACGCAUCGGAAACUGCCUCGCUGGAGUGCAGAAGAGGAGAGUGGAAUUCCACGUGUAGCGGUGAAAUGCGUAGAGAUGUGGAGGAACACCAGUGACGAAGGCGACUCUCUGGUCUGUCACUGACGCUGAGGCGCGAAAGCGUGGGGAGCAAACAGG
rnacentral:rRNA from 1 species